CUCGCUCCUAUUUCCUGGAGUGAACUCUCUUUUCGACUAUAUACUCUUUGUGUGAUGGACCUGCCUUCCCAUUGGUUGAAAAACGUCAAAACAGUCUUGCAAAGCAUCAUGGGAGAUUUAUACUAGACUGUAGCAGCCGGUAGCACAUAGCUAGUUGCCAAAAUGACGGAAAAUUGAUAAAUUACGGACAUCGAGUGGAUAAAUCUUGGAUGUAAGCGUUUGGAUUUAUUGCUGAACAACUCCGAAAAGAGGCACAAGUUCCAGGCUGGAUAGAAAACCUUCUGUAAAGGCUACAAAGACAACAAAGACACCCCCGUGAUGGCUAGCUUGUUAGCUUCUAGCUGGAAAAAACGAUAACAGACAAAUACAGACAGAAUGUAAUGAGAGGUGAUGAAUGAUGGCAGAUGCUGCAUGGAGACAAACAAAUGGACAUGAAGGCAGGAUGGAGAUAUGCAUGCAGCCGAUUGAUGUCCGAUGAUGAACGGAAGACUCCUCCCAGCGCACCUGAGGCAGAUCUCAUCAGGAGAGAUGCUGGAGGAACACGGAACGCGCUCCAACACACCGGGAGCGCAUUUUGAUAAUGAAUGGCUGAGACACAAGGAGGAAAGAGGAGCUGAUAGAAAGUGAAAAAGAAACGUUGGGGACGCUACAGGAGUGCAGGACGGAGCACAGAUAGACGGGCAGGACAGCGGAGCCGGAGGACAGCUGUGGAUGUUUGGUGGAUCGGCGCGUUGGCGCCGGGAAAAGCAGAGUGGACGUUGUGUGCUGCUGGCCCUCUU